rnacentral:rRNA from 1 species
AACGAACGCUGGCGGCACGCCUAACACAUGCAAGUCGAGCGCAGUCCUUCGGGACCGAGCGGCGGACGGGUUAGUAACGCGUGGGAACAUACCCAACUCUAAGGAAUAGCCUCUGGAAACGGAGAGUAAUACCUUAUACGCCCUUCGGGGGAAAGAUUUAUCGGAGAUGGAUUGGCCCGCGUUAGAUUAGAUAGUUGGUGGGGUAACGGCCUACCAAGUCUACGAUCUAUAGCUGGUUUGAGAGGAUGAUCAGCAACACUGGGACUGAGACACGGCCCAG